AACGAACGCUGGCGGCAGGCCUAACACAUGCAAGUCGAGCGCGCCUUCGGGUGAGCGGCGGACGGGUUAGUAACGCGUGGGAACGUGCCCUUCUCUACGGAAUAGCCUUUGGAAACGAAGAGUAAUACCGUAUACGCCCUUUGGGGGAAAGAUUUAUCGGAGAGGGAUCGGCCCGCGUUAGAUUAGGUAGUUGGUGGGGUAAUGGCCUACCAAGCCUACGAUCUAUAGCUGGUUUUAGAGGAUGAUCAGCAACACUGGGACUGAGACACGGCCCAGACUCCUACGGGAGGCAGCAGUGGGGAAUCUUAGACAAUGGGGGAAACCCUGAUCUAGCCAUGCCGCGUGUGUGAUGACGCCCUUAGGGGUGUAAAGCACUUUCGCCAGGGAUGAUAAUGACAGUACCUGGUAAAGAAACCCCGGCUAACUCCGUGCCAGCCGCCGCCGUAAUAC
rnacentral:rRNA from 1 species